rnacentral:ncRNA from 2 species
AUGUCGGCUCUUCCUAUC